UACGUAGGGUGCGAGCGUUAAUCGGAAUUACUGGGCGUAAAGCGUGCGCAGGCGGUGAUGUAAGACAGAUGUGAAAUCCCCGGGCUCAACCUGGGAACUGCAUUUGUGACUGCAUCGCUGGAGUGCGGCAGAGGGGGAUGGAAUUCCGCGUGUAGCAGUGAAAUGCGUAGAUAUGCGGAGGAACACCGAUGACGAAGGCAAUCCCCUGGGCCUGCACUGACGCUCAUGCACGAAAGCGUGGGGAGCAAACAGG
rnacentral:rRNA from 1 species